rnacentral:rRNA from 1 species
AACGAACGCUGGCGGCAUGCCUAACACAUGCAAGUCGAACGAGAACUUUCGGGGUCUAGUGGCUCACGGGUGCGUAACGCGGGGGAAUCUGCCUUGGGGUACGGAAUAACUCAGAGGAAUUUGAUCUAAUAACAGAGGAAGUCUUCGGACCAAAGAUUUAUCGCCCUGGGAUGGGCCCGCGUCGGUUUAGCUGGGUGGUGGGGUAAAGGCCUACCAAGGCGACGAUCCUUAGCUGGUCUGAGAGCAUGAUCAGCCACACUGGGGCUGAGACACGGACCAGACUCCUACGCGAGGCAGGAGUGGGGAAUAUUGGACACUGGGCGCAGGCCUGAUCCAGCAAUGCCGCGUGAGUGAUGAAGGCCUUAGGGUUGUAAAGCUCUUUUACCCGGGAUGAUAGUGACAGUACCGGGAAAAUAAGCCCUGGCUAACUCCGUG